UCUUCCUCACUUGGUAAUGACGAUAGUUGUUCCUAUUGGAGGGCAGUUGGCUGAUUAUUUACGCUCUCACAACAUCAUGAGCACCACCAAUGUACGCAAGCUGAUGAACUGUGGAGGUGUGUGAUUGUGUGUGUUAAUUCUGUAUGUGUGUACUUCAACAUACACUGGCGAUCCAAAAAGAAGUCACCACCUGGAUUUAACUAAGUGUGACCAGUUGAAUGUCUUUAGAAUGAGGACAAAUAGACAUGCAUAAAUAAUGGGUGCAUUUUAAAUCCGAAGACACGCCCACUGCUGGCUUUGACACUGAGCACACCUGUGCCACGUGAUUAUGUCGGCGUGUUUGUGGCUUUAUAAAAAGCACAGUUGAGUGGGACACUUUGAUUCCUUUCUUACCUGUAGGUUGGGUGGCUAGAAAAGGUAUUUUUAUUCUUCUACUCUCCUGUUGCUCUCCCCUGGUGCGGCCAAAGAGCGCUAGCUGCUGUUUCGUAUAUGUUUUGUAUAUGCUUGUACACACUGUUUCAUAAACCCUGAAUUAGCUUGUUGGGUUACAGGUUGGACCAAGCGGACGUCGCAGCUGUAAACCGCUGGAUUACUGAGUGUUUUAAAAGAUUAUCCUGCGCAGCGGUUCUGUGCUAUGUUUGAGUAAGGACUUGGCUAUGUAUCUCCUGUGCAGGUGUAUUACAUUAACAGACUUGGUAUUUUUGCUCCGUGAGCCGCUUGGACGCUUUUUAAAUAUUAAUCGGGAGUUAAUUGUUUUUCUCUUUGUAACGUGUAUAAGUGUAAGUACUAUUUCCACAUGUAACUAUCUGAGCUGUGAUUUUUGAGACUUAAACAGAAGGGGAGUUUGUUUGUGUGUUUCGGGUUUAUUUUUGGUUUAUUCUUGUUUUUUAAGAAUUAUGCACUGAUUUGCGGUGUGCUCUGUCCCUUCUGUUACAGAGAGGAUGUAAUCUAGUCUCUCUGGUUGUGGGUAAAUAACUGGUAAGCUGUAAAUGGUAUUUUAAAAUAUUUAAGCAUUCUUUUGUUUAAUAAAUUUGUACUAUUUGUGUAAA